rnacentral:rRNA from 1 species
UGCUACUUACAGAUGGGCCUGCGGCGCAUCAGCUUGUUGGUGGGGUAAUGGCCUACCAAGGCGACGACGGGUAGCCGACCUGAGAGGGUGACCGGCCACACUGGGACUGAGACACGGCCCAGACUCCUACGGGAGGCAGCAGUGGGGAAUAUUGCACAAUGGGCGAAAGCCUGAUGCAGCGACGCCGCGUGAGGGAUGACGGCCUUCGGGUUGUAAACCUCUUUCAGCAGGGACGAAGCGAGAGUGACGGUACCUGCAGAAGAAGCACCGGCCAACUACGUGCCAGCAGCCGCGGUAAUACGUAGGGUGCGAGCGUUGUCCGGAAUUACUGGGCGUAAAGAGCUCGUAGGCGGUUUGUCGCGUCGUCUGUGAAAACCAGGGGCUCAACCCCUGGCUUGCAGGCGAUACGGGCAGACUUGAGUACUGCAGGGGAGACUGGAAUUCCUGGUGUAGCGGUGAAAUGCGCAGAUAUCAGGAGGAACACCGGUGGCGAAGGCGGGUCUCUGGGCAGUAACUGACGCUGAGGAGCGAAAGCGUGGGUAGCGAACAGGAUUAGAUACCCUGGUAGUCCACGCCGUAAACGGUGGGCGCUAGGUGUGGGUUUCCUUCCACGGGAUCCGUGCCGUAGCUAACGCAUUAAGCGCCCCGCCUGGGGAGUACGGCCGCAAGGCUAAAACUCAAAUGAAUUGAC